UGAUUGACAUGUCUGCAGUGGA
rnacentral:miRNA from 1 species